GAGGCUUGGACAAGCCCCAGAGACAGCUGGUGGCUUUGAGCACUUCCUUGUUUGCAUUGGACAGGUGACCGGCCUGCUCUAGAGGCUUAUUCCCGGGGCCUUUGUUCCACGCUGUGUAAUUAAAGUGCACAGUCAGCCUUACUUCCUCUGACCUACCAAGACCUGCGAAAAAAACUACAUGAGGAUCCCAAGAUAACCAUUAUAUGUUAUCAAGUUUAGGUUAUCGACGUACAUUUUAAGCUCUAGGCGCCAUGUGCUCGCGGAGGGAGAGAAAGACUUAACACAUUUUUGGCAGGGCUAAGUCUGCUUCGGGGAAGCAGUCGAGGUAAUAUGGCGGAGAGUGGCCAGCCGGGAGUGUUUUGUCCGACACGUGGAUCGGUGCCACUUGCUGGUGGCCUGGGCUUUAAGCACCUUCGCGGGUGUGUUAGAGCUGAGUCAGUCUGCUGUGUGACCAGCACACAAGAACCCAGCCCUCCUGCCCGUUCUCUGAGGCAGGUGCAGUUAGGGAUGGCCUGCCGGUCACAGAUGUGACAGCCCAGGGCCCGCGGGGCUGGUAACUGGCAAAUGGCACCCUGGUAGCGGUAACGAACCUUGUCCUGACCUAGACGGGCGUCGGGUCUGCUGCCCGUACAAACCGGUUGCCUCCCUGUGGUGAAUCAAAGGCCUCUCUCCUGCAUGUUGCCUAAGCUGUCAUUUGGUGCUGCCGGCUUAUCAGAGGCUGCCCUCGGACCUCUAUUUCGGCAGAUCUCUGGUGCUGCCGCAGGGCCAGAAUGAUUUGGGCAACCCCCAUGGGACGUUCUGUAUUGGAUUUGGAGUACAAGGUAGAGUUUGCAUCUGGUUUCCACUGUCUCCUCCCUACAACACGGGAUGUGUUCUGGAAUGAAUAGCAGCAACAGAAAGGCAGACACAAAAACCAAAACCGAAAACAGAAAAACAAGCUUAACUGGAGUGUGACUUCUCUUGGAAAGCUUGGGUGAAAGGGUGAAUAAAAGCCUGUAGAAGGGCACGCAGCACAGCUUUGGCAGUUGAAAGAGCGGGUGUGGCCUAGCCUGUUGUCAUUUGCUCAGAGGCUAACACCGCAUGUAAGGAACAAGGCGCCUCAUCCAACAGCUCAGUGUCGAUGACUCAGAAUUUCAAAUUGCGAAGGAGUACGCUUUUGCAGCAGGAGACAACCCCAGGAAGCGAAUGCUCCACAGAAACGCUUUAGCUCAGACUUGCUAGGAAAUAGUGGCCCACUGUUUGAAAAAAACUGUGGUAAACUAUCGAUCACAUGAAACGUACCAUUUUAAGCGUUUCUAAGUGCACAGAGGCAUUACGUACAUCCGCGGUGUUUGGAACCAUAACCACUACCAAGUUCUAGAAGUUUCUCAUCAUCAAGAAGAAACUGUCCCCCGUUAAACAUUCAUUCCAGUUCCCCCUUGUCCCAGGCCCUGGCUACGUCCACCCUAUGUCUCUGUGAAUUUGAUAGUCCCACUUUUCAAUUCUGGAGUUGGCAGAGGUGUUCUGACCUUUUACAUACAUGGGCCAAACGUAACAUUAAUUUAUUUUGCUCUUGCUGAUGUGCUUGCAUUUCUUUCUCACCUGUUUUCAACGAAAUACUGUCUUUCCCCAGGUGAUGCCGUGAUAAUAUUCCCACCUCCCCCACCACCUUACUUUCCUGAAUCUUCAGCUUCUGCAGUAACCCGAAGUCCUGGGGCUAACGGUUUGCUUCCAAAUGAAAAUCCACCUUCGUAUUACAGUAUUUUUAACUAUGGUAGGACCCCAACUCCUGGGGGCCAAGGUGUGGGCUCUGAGAGAGAUUGUGAAUCUAUAUACACCAUUUCUGGGUCUCCUUCAUCCGCUGGGAUCUCGUACACUCCACAUCUCUCCUCUGAACUGCCUCCCAGAUACGAAGAAAAAGAAAUCGCGGCAACCACAUCCUUAUCCCCAUCUUCUGAGCCUUCCCGACCGUGACUCCAGUUCAACUGUACAUAAAAUCAAUCACUAUUUUAUAUAAUUUGUUUUGUAAUAAAAAAAAAAAUACAGUGGCAUCGGCUCUG